UCCUCUAUAGUUCAACGGGAGAACGGCUGCCACACAGGCGGCUCACCGUGGUUCGACUCCACGAAGAGGAA
rnacentral:tRNA from 1 species